rnacentral:rRNA from 1 species
GACGAACCGAGCGAACGUUGUUCGGAAUCACUGGGCUUAAAGGGCGCGUAGGCGGGUGCUCAAGUCUGUGGUGAAAUCCUCCGGCUCAACCGGAGAACUGCCAUGGAUACUGGGUGUCUCGAGGGUGGUAGGGGUAUGCGGAACUAUCGGUGGAGCGGUGAAAUGCGUUGAUAUCGAUAGGAACUCCGGUGGCGAAGGCGGCAUACUGGACCACAUCUGACGCUGAGGCGCGAAAGCCAGGGGAGCAAACGGG